rnacentral:rRNA from 1 species
GGCCUCACGCGGGGCUACAAGCUGGAGCCUCACGACGACGAGGCGGUGGAAUACUACCUGCUCCGUCAACUCCUUGGCCAGGAGCUCCCGCUGGAGGGCAUCAUCCUCGAGGACGAUCCGCUGAGCGCGCCGCCAUGGGAGCUCUUGAACAAACACGAGCUGGAGGACAAUGCUUUCUUCUUUGCCCACGGGCAAACCAUUGACAGCAAGGGGAGUCGGAACAAGCGGACCUGCGCGGGCGGCGGGUGCUGGGAAGGGCAGAAGGUCGUCGUGGAUGACAAGGAGCUCAUCGUCCCCGACAGCGGCAUGGAGAUCACCUGGAAGAAGUACCAGUUCAACUUCCACAACGACGGCGAGAAGGGCAGCACGGGGUGGGUCAUGCACGAGUACUCCGUCACUGCCCCGCCCGAUCUGGCCUCGUCGUCGGUCAGACUGUAUCGCAUUUCGUUUAGUGGCCACGGCAAGAAGCGCAAGAGGGAGCCCGAUGAUCACGGCGACGACGAGGGUAGAGCGCGCGCGGCCACCGGGCAAGCGAUUCCCGAGGAGCAGAUGCCGGCGUCGCACUCGCACUCAUCUCUUUUCCCUCAAGAUCAGGAUCUCUACGACGGUGCGGCCAUUGACGGGAUUCAAUGGCCACCGGUGACGUCCUCAGAACAUCUGCUGGGCUCUUCCCAAGACUUGGGCCGCUCGUGGUUCUUGCCCGGCGGAGACCUCGGAGUAGGGUCGGCGGCGGCGACAUCAGAUUCAGAUCAAGGCGCCUCAGCGCGCGUGAUGCAUCACUGGUAG